rnacentral:sRNA from 1 species
UUCUUAUGCGAGUAUGCAAGAACUUGGCCAAUCAAAAAA